UGAGCAGCACGCUGUGUGGUU
rnacentral:misc_RNA from 1 species